rnacentral:rRNA from 1 species
GUAGGUGGAAUGUGUUGUGUAGCGGUGAAAUGCAUAGAUAUGACACAGAACGCCGAUUGCGAAGGCAACUUACUAAGCCAUUACUGACGCUGAGGCACGAAAGCGUGGGGAGCGAACAGGAUUAGAUACCCUGGUAGUCCACGCUGUAAACGAUGUUCACUCGCUGUCGGCGAUACACAGUCGGCGGCUGAGCGAAAGCAUUAAGUGAACCACCUGGGGAGUACGAUCGCAAGGUUGAAACUCAAAGGAAUUGACGGGGGCCCGCACAAGCGGAGGAACAUGUGGUUUAAUUCGAUGAUACGCGAGGAACCUUACCUGGGCUUAAAUGUAGAUUGCAUAAUUUAGAAAUAGAUUUUCCCUUCGGGGCUAUUUACAAGGUGCUGCAUGGUUGUCGUCAGCUCGUGCCGUGAGGUGUCGGGUUAAGUCCCAUAACGAGCGCAACCCUUAUCGUUAGUUGCUAGCAGGUAAAGCUGAGGACUCUAGCGAGACUGCCACCGUAAGGUGAGAGGAAGGU